ACCCUAAAUCCCCAGGUUGCCCACUAUUUAAGCCACCUUAUAGCCCCCAAUCUCGCCUCCUUCACCCUCAAAAGCUGUGAGAAAACCCUAAUUCAUUCUUGAGUGAUUCUAAGUGAUUUUUGUGUGCAAUUGUGAAGGCUUGAAGAAGGAGAAGAAGAAAGGAACAAGGAGAAGGAUUGUAGAGCAGAGAUUCAAGGGAAAGCAAGAGCUCUUUGAGCCGGGGAGAUACCGGAGCAGCAGCAGUUAGCCCUCAGAGCUAUUCACUCAGCAGCCAGUUCACGAGUCAGCUUCGGACUUCGGUCUGAUGUCAGCUUCGGGCUUCGGUCCGAUGGAGGGGGCAAGGCCCAGUCAGUUAGCUUCGGACUUCGGUUCGAUGUGGGGGACAAGGUCCCAGUCAGCUUCGGACUUCGGUCUGA